GCCGUUAGGAGGACUCAAUGAGAUGAUGCACUGUGGUAGGUAAAAUAAUGAUCCUUCAAAGACAUCCACAUCCUAAUCCCCAAAACCUGGGAAUAUGUUGCCUUAUGUGGUAAAAGGCCACAUACACGGCAUAUGGGAAGUGCAAAGCACCUUACAAAUAUAAACAGCUAUUAAAGUAAUAUGAAACCCCACAGUAAAAAUAAGAGAAAAUAAAUUAAAAAUACAGUAGACUAGAUCCAGCUUAUGUAAAAGGGAAUAAUUUUCUUUGAGAACUUUUACUUUGCAUUUACAACUUGGCUAACUAUUUGGUGUAAGAGGCCUAGCUUUUGACCUAUCUAGUCUUUUGAUGUA
rnacentral:lncRNA from 1 species